UACGUAGGAGGCAAGCGUUAUCCGGAUUUACUGGGUGUAAAGGGAGCGUAGGCGGCGAUGCAAGUCAGAAGUGAAAGCCCGGGGCUCAACUCCGGGACUGCUUUUGAAACUGUGUUGCUAGAUUGCAGGAGAGGUAAGUGGAAUUCCUAGUGUAGCGGUGAAAUGCGUAGAUAUUAGGAGGAACACCAGUGGCGAAGGCGGCUUACUGGACUGUAAAUGACGCUGAGGCUCGAAAGCGUGGGGAGCAAACAGG
rnacentral:rRNA from 1 species